ACCGGUGGUGAUUACUGUGAGGCCACACCUGUUCCCAUCCCGAACACAGAAGUUAAGCUCACUUGUGCCGAAAAUACUUGACUGGAGACGGUCCGGAAAGAUAGGUUGCUGCCGGUU
rnacentral:rRNA from 2 species